CCCUGUGGAUCAUACCUUUAAUUGUUGCUUCGGCGGGACUUCGCGCCCGCCGGGGACCCAAACCUUCUGAAUUUUUUAAUAAGUAUCUUCUGAGUGGUUAAAAAAAAUGAAUCAAAACUUUCAACAACGGAUCUCUUGGUUCUGGCAUCGAUGAAGAACGCAGCGAAAUGCGAUAAGUAAUGUGAAUUGCAGAAUUCAGUGAAUCAUCGAAUCUUUGAACGCACAUUGCGCCCGUCAGUAUUCUGGCGGGCAUGCCUGUUCGAGCGUCAUUACGCCCCUCAAGUCCCCUGUGGACUUGGUGUUGGGGAUCGGCGAGGCUGGUUUUCCAGCACAGCCGUCCCUUAAAUUAAUUGGCGGUCUCGCCGUGGCCCUCCUCUGCGCAGUAGUAAAGCACUCGCAACAGGAGCCCGGCGCGGUCCACUGCCGUAAAACCCCCCAACUUUUUAUAGUUGACCUCGAAUCAGGUAGGACUACCCGCUGAACUUAAGCAUAUCAAUAAGGGGGAGG
rnacentral:rRNA from 1 species